AUGCGUCUCGGAUUUCUGCAUUUUGGAAUUCAGGUCAACCUGGACAUGUUCAGGGAAGUUAAUUAUCGGGUUGCCGAUCGCUUUGUUUGCUGCGACACUUGUGUUUUGGAAGUACUCUACCAAGCGCAGGAAUGUCACCUCCACUAUCGCACUGAGCGGAAGGCAUGUUAUCCCUUUCAAUACAGGGUCGUUCUUAUAUGCAUCAGUUGUAUCACUGCCCAUGAUGCCAUACCUUGCUCCAUCUCGAUCGUAUGCCAGUGA
rnacentral:rRNA from 1 species